AGUGAACGCUGGCGGUAGGCCUAACACAUGCAAGUCGAACGGCAGCAUAGGAGAGCUUGCUCUCUGGGUGGCGAGUGGCGGACGGGUGAGGAAUACAUCGGAAUCUACUUUUUCGUGGGGGGUAACGUAGGGAAACUUACGCUAAUACCGCAUACGACCUACGGGUGAAAGCAGGGGACCUUCGGGCCUUGCGCGAUUGAAUGAGCCGAUGUCGGAUUAGCUAGUUGGCGGGGUAAAGGCCCACCAAGGCGACGAUCCGUAGCUGGUCUGAGAGGAUGAUCAGCCACACUUGAACUGAGACACGGUCCAGACUCCUACGGGAGGCAGCAGUGGGGAAUAUUGGACAAUGGGCGCAAGCCUGAUCCAGCCAUACCGCGUGGGUGAAGAAGGCCUUCGGGUUGUAAAGCCCUUUUGUUGGGAAAGAAAUCCAUCUGGUUAAUACCCGGUUGGGAUGACGGUACCCAAAGAAUAAGCACCGGCUAACUUCGUGCCAGCCGCCGCCGUAA
rnacentral:rRNA from 1 species